UUAAAUAAUUGUGUAAUGGGCAAUCGCCGUGAAAAUCGGUGGCAGUGCCGCUACUGUUAAAGUCAGAAAACCAUUACAUACUAAAUUUCCCGAGCAGGAAAAUUUUAUCCUUCUAGG
rnacentral:ncRNA from 32 species